UAAACUGAAGAGUUUGAUCAUGGCUCAGAUUGAACGCUGGCGGCAGGCCUAACACAUGCAAGUCGAGCGAGAAAGCACUUCGGUGUUAUUAGAGCGGCGGACGGGUGAGUAACGCUUGGGAAUCUACCCAGUAGAGGGGGAUAACGUGUGGAAACGCACGCUAAUACCGCAUACGUCUUAAGGGAGAAAGCAGGGGAUUUUCGGACCUUGCGCUAUCGGAUGAGCCCAAGUCAGAUUAGCUUGUUGGUGGGGUAAAGGCCUACCAAGGCAACGAUCUGUAGCUGGUCUGAGAGGAUGAUCAGCCACACUGGGACUGAGACACGGCCCAGACUCCUACGGGAGGCAGCAGUGGGGAAUAUUGCACAAUGG
rnacentral:rRNA from 1 species